UACGAGGGGGGCAAGCGUUGUUCGGAAUUACUGGGCGUAAAGCGCACGUAGGCGGCUAUUCAAGUCAGAGGUGAAAGCCCGGGGCUCAACCCCGGAACUGCCUUUGAAACUAGGUAGCUAGAAUCUUGGAGAGGUCAGUGGAAUUCCGAGUGUAGAGGUGAAAUUCGUAGAUAUUCGGAAGAACACCAGUGGCGAAGGCGACUGACUGGACAAGUAUUGACGCUGAGGUGCGAAAGCGUGGGGAGCAAACAGG
rnacentral:rRNA from 1 species